rnacentral:rRNA from 1 species
GAUGAACGCUGGCGGCGUGCCUAAUACAUGCAAGUCGAUCGAACGGACGAGAAGCUUGCUUCUCUGAUGUUAGCGGCGGACGGGUGAGUAACACGUGGAUAACCUACCUAUAAGACUGGGAUAACUUCGGGAAACCGGAGCUAAUACCGGAUGAUAUUUUGAACCGCAUGGUUCAAAAGUGAAAGACGGUCUUGCUGUCACUUAUAGAUGGAUCCGCGCUGCAUUAGCUAGUUGGUAAGGUAACGGCUUACCAAGGCAACGAUGCAUAGCCGACCUGAGAGGGUGAUCGGCCACACUGGAACUGAGACACGGUCCAGACUCCUACGGGAGGCAGCAGUAGGGAAUCUUCCGCAAUGGGCGAAAGCCUGACGGAGCAACGCCGCGUGAGUGAUGAAGGUCUUCGGAUCGUAAAACUCUGUUAUUAGGGAAGAACAUAUGUGUAAGUAACUGUGCACAUCUUGACGGUACCUAAUCAGAAAGCCACGGCUAACUACGU